GAUGAACGCUAGCGGCAGGCUUAAUACAUGCAAGUCGUGGGGCAGCGCAGGUUGCAAUACUGGGCGGCGACCGGCAAACGGGUGCGGAACACGUACACAACCUUCCGAUAAGUGGGGAAUAGCCCAGAGAAAUUUGGAUUAAUACCCCGAAACAUAACGAUCUUGCAUCCCAUUGUUAUUAUAGCUUCGGCGCUUCUGGAUGGGGGUGCGGCUGAUUAGAUAGUUGGAGGGGUAACGGCCCACCAAGUCGACGAUCAGUAGCGGAUGUGAGAGCAUGAUCAGCCACACGGGCACUGAGACACGGGCCCGACUCCUACGGGAGGCAGCAGUAAGGAAUAUUGGUCAAUGGACGCAAGUCUGAACCAGCCAUGCCGCGUGAAGGAUUAAGGUCCUCUGGAUUGUAAACUUCUUUUAUCUGGGACGAAAAAAGGCGAUUCUUCGUCACUUGACGGUACCAGAUGAAUAAGCACCGGCUAACUUCGUGCCAGCAGCCGCCGCGGUAA
rnacentral:rRNA from 1 species